UACGUAGGGUGCGAGCGUUAAUCGGAAUUACUGGGCGUAAAGCGUGCGCAGGCGGUUUUGUAAGCCAGAUGUGAAAGCCCCGGGCUCAACCUGGGAAUGGCAUUUGGGACUGCAAGGCUGGAGUUUGGCAGAGGAGACUGGAAUUCCUGGUGUAGGCAGUGAAAUGCGUAGAUAUCAGGAGGAAUACCGAUGGCGAAGGCAGGUCUCUGGGCUAUAACUGACGCUCAUG
rnacentral:rRNA from 1 species